rnacentral:rRNA from 1 species
AGAGUUUGAUCAUGGCUCAGAGUGAACGCUGGCGGCGUGCCUAAUACAUGCAAGUCGAACGCGAAAGUCCUUCGGGAUGAGUAAAGUGGCGCACGGGUGAGUAAUACAUGGGAACAUGCCCUCAAAUGGGGAAUAACAGUUGGAAACGACUGCUAAUACCGCAUAGUCUCGCAAGAGUAAAGGUGGCGCCGUAAGGGCUACCGUUUGAGGAUUGGCCCAUGUCCCAUUAGCUAGUUGGUAAGGUAAUGGCUUACCAAGGCGACGAUGGGUAACUGGUCUGAGAGGAUGAUCAGUCACACUGGAACUGAGACACGGUCCAGACUCCUACGGGAGGCAGCAGUAGGGAAUAUUGCACAAUGGGGGAAACCCUGAUGCAGCAACGCCGCGUGAGUGAAGAAGGCCCUUGGGUUGUAAAGCUCUUUAGCGAGGGAAGAAGCUUCGUACGGCGAAUAAUCGUACGGGAUGACGGUACCUCGAGAAUAAGCACCGGCUAAUUUCGUGCCAGCAGCCGCGGUAAUACGAAAGGUGCAAGCGUUACUCGGAAUCACUGGGCGUAAAGCGCGCGUAGGCGGAUACGUAUGUCAGUUGUGAAAUACCUGAG